rnacentral:lncRNA from 1 species
GGGUUGUUGAUACAACCAUCACAGGAAUUGUUUAUGCAGAUAAGACACUUGCUAUAUAUCAUGUGAAUAAGGUUCUUAUUCCUUUGGAUUUUAUUAAGCCUAAAGCUAAAGCUCCAGCACCAGCUAUUGCUAAGGCACCUAAAGCUGAGAAAGAGAAUUCAUCAGCAGAUGAUGAUGAUCAGACUCAGGCACACAAGGAUAGUUCUGAUGCCAUUAGCUUGAAUAACAUGCAUGGAAU